ensembl:rRNA 5S_rRNA 5S ribosomal RNA
GUCUAUGGCCAUACCACCCUGAAUAUGCCCGCUCUCAUCUGAUCUCAGAAGCUGAGCAGGGUUGGGCCUGGUUAGUACUUGUAUGGGAGAGAGAGAGAGAGAGGGAGAGAGAGAGG